AAAGGGACCGCGGCUCCGACUUGCCAGAAGCAGCUUUGGGUUGCGGCACAGACUGAGCCUCUGCCCAGCCCCAGGGGACGACGAAAGGCCCCUGGUCUCUCAUCCCCAGCUUUCGGGCCCUAGAAGUCGCAGGAGCGCUCCCUGUGACCCCCUCCCCGAGAUCGGCUCCCUUUGCCUAGGGAGCGCCCAGGACCUGCCCCUGCCCUCCUCUGGACCUCAGCUUCACCAUCCGCAAAGGAAGCAGCCUCGCUAGAGCUCUGGGGUCCCUCAAGCUCGGCGUCUCAGGAUCCAGGAUGAGACCAUCUAGUUACAGAAAAAUAAGCUCAGAGCUUCCACGGAUUCUACAUUAUGGAUAUGUGCCACCGAAGCAAGCACAAAGCCCUACUCUUACACAUGAUUAGUGAUGAGUCAUGGACAAGGCUUGGCUCUGUUAAGUCCAACUAACCUACUUGAGAUUCUGAGAAUUCUCUUCAAUGGCUUCCUGUGAGCUAGAAUUUGAAAAUAUUUUAAAAUCUUGAGCUAGAGAUGGAAGUAGCUUGGACGAUUUUCAUUAUCAUGUAAAUCAGAUCACUCAAGGGGCCAACCACAGCUGGGAGUCACUGCUCAGGGGAAGGUUCAUAUGGGAUUUUCUACUGCCCAAGGUUCUAUACAGGAUAUAAAGGUGCCUCACAGUACAGAUCUGGUAGCAAAGAAGAAGAAACAAACACUGAUCUCUUUCUGCCACAUUAUUUGAACCCCUCUGACCCUUUAGAACAAGCCCACCCAAUACCUGCUAGAGAAAAGACCAACAACGGCCUCAAAGGAUCUCUUACCAUGAAGGUCUCAGCUAAUUCUUGGCUAAGAUGUGGGUUCCACAUUAGGUUCUGAAUAUGGGGGGAAGGGCCAAUUUGCUCACUUUGUGUGUGGUUUAUAAAGUCAGGACGCCCAGCAGCCAGAGCAGGGGGCUGGUGCUUUGGGAACAAUGGCUGAGCAUAUAAGCAUAGGUAUGGGAACUAAAAAACGUUGUACUUCAAAGUCACUGUAUGAAUCGCCAUGAAGACUUGAGGGACCUGAAUCUACCGAUUCAUCUUAAGGCAGCAGGACCAGUUUGAGUGGCAACAAUGCAGCAACAGAAUCAAUGGAAACAACAGAAUGAUUGCAAUGUCCUUUUUUUUUCUCCUCCUCCUGACUUGAUAAAAGGGACUGUCUUCCUUGGAUUUAGUGAACCCCUUCGGUUCCUGAAAAAUUCAAGGAGUAUAUAGGACAUAGUCCCCAGAAGACAGUACAAGACUUUCUGAUAAACUGGACAUUUCCAGGCCCAAAUAACUAAUCAGAAAAAUCAAAGAUGUGACACUAUUUUUUAUCCCAUGCAUAGGUGUUACACUUGGAUGAAAUGAACAAUGUUGGGAUCUCUAAGGAUAAAGGUCUUAAAAGUCUUGACAUAAAGAAUCCUGCACCCA